rnacentral:rRNA from 1 species
GUUUGAUCCUGGCUCAGGAUGAACGCUAGCGGCAGGCUUAAUACAUGCAAGUCAAGGGGGUAGCAAUACAACCGGCGCACGGGUGAGUAACGCGUACACAACAUACCAUAUACUGGAGUAUAGCUUUGGGAAACUGAAGGUAAUCCUCCAUAACAUUGCGAGAGGGCAUCUGAUUGCAAUUAAAGUUCCGGCGGUAUAUGAUUGGUGUGCGUUUGAUUAGCUAGUUGGUAGGGUAACGGCCUACCAAGGCGACGAUCAAUAGCUGGCGUGAGAGCGCGACCAGCCACACUGGAACUGAGACACGGUCCAGACUCCUACGGGAGGCAGCAGUAGGGAAUAUUGGACAAUGGGCGAAAGCCUGAUCCAGCCAUGCCGCGUGAUAGAUGAAGGCCCUCUGGGUUGUAAAUAUCUUUUAUCUGGGAAGAAACUCCUCUAUUCUUAGAGGCCUGACGGUACCAGAGGAAUAAGCACCGGCUAACUCCGUG